rnacentral:sRNA from 1 species
AUCUGCAGCAGAACAAACACUCACAAAGGGUCUCCUUCCCUCCUAGGACUUCCUUCGCUGGGCAUCUGGCUGGGAUUCUUGUUGGACUAAUGUACACUCAAGGGCCUCUGAAGAAAAUCAUGGAAGCAUGUGCAGGUACAGAAUAAAACACCUUUGGCAUGACAACAGGUUGGAAGUUCAUGUUAAUUUUAGUGUGAACAGAAGCAACCCCAAGUUUCCCUGUGGUUCAGCUCAAGAAUUCCCUAAUAUGCCGGUUUUUCUUUUUAAACCAAAACGCGGUUUUUCCUCCAGUGCUGGUUACCCAGGACGGCAAUACUACUUUAAUAGUUCAGGCAGCUCUGGAUAUCAGGAUUAUUAUCCGCAUGGCAGGCCGGAUCACUAUGAAGAAGCACCCGGGAACUAUGACACGUACACAGCAGGACUGAGUGAAGAAGAACAGCUCGAGAGAGCAUUACAAGCCAGCCUCUGGGACCGAGGAAAUACCAGAAAUAGCCCACCACCCUACGGGUUUCAUCUCUCACCAGAAGAAAUGAGGAGACAGCGGCUUCACAGAUUCGAUAGCCAGUGAGGUGGCAUCUUGGGAAGACAUGGCCUAUUUGUGUAAUUAUUGCCCAUUUGGCUCAUUCCCCAAGCCCCUAAUUCAUUUUAAUUCAUUUUAAACAAAAGCAGAGUACACCGGUAUUGCUCCAGAUCGCUCACAUCACCUGGGACAGUCCCAUGGCCCCUAUGAGUCAACUCACAGCUUGUGGGGAGUGGGCCUUCUCCCGGCCUUGUUCUUGCUCAUAAACAGGUCACUUCCUC